rnacentral:rRNA from 1 species
CCUACGGGAGGCAGCAGUCGAGAAUCUUUCACAAUGGGGGAAACCCUGAUGGUGCGACGCCGCGUGGGGGAAUGAAGGUCUUCGGAUUGUAAACCCCUGUCAUGUGGGAGCAAAUUAAAAAGAUAGUACCACACGAGGAAGAGACGGCUAACUCUGUGCCAGCAGCCGCGGUAAUACAGAGGGCUCAAGCGUUGUUCGGAAUCACUGGGCGUAAAGCGUGCGUAGGCUGUUUCGUAAGUCGUGAGUGAAAGGCGCGGGCUCAACCCGCGGACGGCACAUGAUACUGCGGGACUAGAGUAAAGGAGGGGGAACCGGAAUGCUCGGUGUAGCAGUGAAAUGCGUAGAUAUCGGGAGGAACACUCGUGGCGAAGGCGGGUUCCUGGACAUUAACUGACGCUGAGGCACGAAGGCGAGGGGAGCGAAAGGGAUUAGAUACCCCUGUAGUC